CGUCCGUCCGGGCGUGCGCAUUCGGAGGUGGCGGUCGCGCCCGGUGACUGUCCGCGCUGCUCGUUGGCCUGCUCCCUGCCGCCGCUCUUAGAAGAAACACGCUCGCCGUGCCGCUCCGGGGACGGGAGCGCGGGUUUGUGCUGUUCGCCAAAGGCUCUUCCAUGAAGCAUCAGCAGCCUCCUGACUUGUGACGGCGAGUCCUGAUGUGGUUUUGGUACGUGUCUUGUGCUGCUCCACAGAUGCCCCAGCCCAGGUUUGCAGCCGGUGGUGGAGCCGUUUGAGGGGAAGGGACCAUCUUUCCGUCUGGUCAUUCGGUGCUGUCUUUUUGGGGUGAAUAAAAAGGAGGGAUAUUUAAGGAGUGAUCAUUUGAGGGCACCCCAGCAUCACCAAAGGGGGUGAUGAUGAGCAGAGGAGCAGGUGAGUUGGGGAUGUGAGGUCAUGGGGGGGGGUUCCCCCCCUAAAAGAGGGGGGGUCACAGCUCCAAAAUGCCUGAAAAGUCAUAGUGGGGUAUUUAAAAAUAACAAAACCCGUAAAUACCAAUGUGAGGUGUUGAAAUAGAGAAAAAUCUCUCGUUUACAUAUAGAUGGAAAAAAUAUUAUUUCUGUAUAUAAAAGGAGUUCAGAAUAAAACCCUAUCUCUCUAA